CCCCUAGAUGUUCUGGGCCGCACGCGCGCUACACUGAACAGUUCAACAAGUCUUAACCUUGGCCGAUAGGUCUGGGUAAUCUUUGAACGCUGUUCGUGAUUGGGAUAGACCUUUGCAAUUAUGGGUCUUCAACGAGGAAUUCCUAGUAAACGCAAGUCAUCAGCUUGCAUUGAUUACGUCCCUGCCCUUUGUACACACCGCCCGUCGCACCUACCGGUUGAAUGGUCCGGUGAAAUCUCGGGACGGCGGCUCGGUCGCUUGCGUCCGACUGCUGAAACUUGAUUAAACCAUAUCAUUUAGAGGAAGGUGAAGUCGUAACA
rnacentral:rRNA from 1 species